rnacentral:rRNA from 1 species
UACGUAGGGGGCAAGCGUUGUCCGGAAUCAUUGGGCGUAAAGAGCGCGUAGGCGGUCCGGUAAGUCGGUUGUGAAAACUGUGGGCUCAACCCUCAGAGGCCGACCGAUACUGUCGGGCUAGAGUCCGGAAGAGGCGAGUGGAAUUCCUGGUGUAGCGGUGAAAUGCGCAGAUAUCAGGAGGAACACCAAUGGCGAAGGCAGCUCGCUGGGACGGUACUGACGCUGAGGCGCGAAAGCGUGGGGAGCAAACAGG